rnacentral:rRNA from 1 species
GAUGAACGCUAGCGGCAGGCCUAACACAUGCAAGUCGAGGGAGAAGCCCUUCGGGGCAGAAACCGGCGCACGGGUGCGUAACGCGUAUGCAACCUACCUUUCACAGGGGGAUAGCCCGAAGAAAUUUGGAUUAAUACCCCAUAAUAUUAUUGGAUGGCAUCAUUUGAUAAUUAAAAUUACGAUGGUGAAAGAUGGGCAUGCGUCCUAUUAGCUAGUUGGAGUGGUAACGGCACCCCAAGGCUACGAUAGGUAGGGGUCCUGAGAGGGAGAUCCCCCACACUGGUACUGAGACAGGGACCAGACUCCUACGGGAGGCAGCAGUGAGGAAUAUUGGUCAAUGGUCGGGAAAGACUGAAACCCAGCCAUGCCCGCGUGCAGGGAAAGAAAUGCCCUUUAUGGGGUGUAAAACUG